UACAGGGGGGGCAAGCGUUGUUCGGAUUCACUGGGCGUAAAGGGUGCGUAGGUGGCGAGGUAAGUCGGAUGUGAAAGCUCGGAGCUCAACUCCGAAAUGGCAUUGGAAACUACCUUGCUCGAGGGUUGGAGGGGGGACUGGAAUGCUUGGUGUAGCAGUGAAAUGCGUAGAUAUCAAGCGGAACACCAGUGGCGAAGGCGAGUCCCUGGACAACUCCUGACACUGAGGCACGAAAGCUAGGGGAGCAAACAGG
rnacentral:rRNA from 1 species